rnacentral:lncRNA from 1 species
GGAAAAUAAACUUUUUCAUAUAUUUGUAUGUGUACUUUAUUUUACUUAUUGCCUAUAUGUAAUUACCAUUCAGAAGCAGGAACAAACAGAAAUAGAAGGAAAAGAUUCUUUAACUUUUUGGUUUGGCCUUUGCUCAUUGAUGAAAGCCAUACAUUGACCUAUACCUGCUCAUUUCUGUGUCAUUUGGCCUACUGUGGAGAGUUGUCUCAUUGGCAAUAACACAAC